rnacentral:tRNA from 1 species
AGCAAUGUGGCUCAGUGGGAAGAGCACUGGCUUGGAAGUCAUAGGUCUUGGGUUUGAAUCCCUGCUCUGCCA